rnacentral:piRNA from 1 species
UAAGAGGUGCAUAGGAAAAUUAGUUUGGU